CACAACCUAAACCCCAUGACCCCUCGCCCCCACACUUCCAUCUCUCGCAACUGACCCAACGCCUGCGUUGAAGAACGUUGAAGAACGCCGUUGAAUCUUCUCCGCUGAAGAACCACAACAAAGUCUUCACAACUCACGACCCACGAUCGAAUAUCCUUCGAAUCUGUUGAAUCCGCUAAAUCUUCACAACCCACGACCCCUUACGCCGCCACACUCCCACCUGAAAAAGCUUACUCAAUGCUUUUCUCUCUCUCCUUCUCUGUCUUUCCUUCAAUUUUUCUAAUUCCCCAACUGGGUUCUUUUCAACUAUCAACACCAUGAGUCUUUUAAUUAUCAGGACUUGCUCUUUGAACUUCUUUCUUGGAAUCGAAUUUUCCUUGGCUUUUCUUUUCUCCUCGAAAUCCUCUUCACUUGGCAGUUUUUCAUUCAUGGGAAUAGUGGUUGUCUUGGAUGCUACACGAAGCCGAAACUAAAAAAACUCAUAUGAAUGAACCAUCAAAGGGUCAACAAAUUCAAUGUCAUGGACCAAGGAAACCCAGCCUAUCAGAGGAUUUCUGAACUACUAGUACAUUUGAUGUGGAAAAUAGUGCAGGUCAAUCACAAGGAAGUAUGUCAUCAUUGAGUACAACCAACCAUAUGCACGAUCCACACAGACAAUGUACCCAACCCUUUAAAGUUUCUAAAUCACGGUGAUUAUCUCCUUUCACUCUAUAUUUUCAGUUACUCAAUUCACCAUGUUCUAGAUAAGAACAGAACUUUACAAGGAAAAUUAAUUGUACUUUGAGACUUAAGACUGUUAAAUGGAUGAUUCGAUAAAGUUUGUCUUUACUUUGUAUUUCAACGAUUUGUUCAUUUAUCAUAGCUUUUUAUAACAUGACAAUCUCCUUAAUUUUUCUAUGUGAUUAUCCCAUUUCUUUGAAGAUAGGCAUUGGCACAAGUAACUAUACUUAGAUCUUCACUGUAGGUCUUUUUCUGUGGAAUCAAACUAGGCAACGUUGGAAAGGGAAUAAAUGAUUCGAAAAGCGAACACCGAAGUUUCAAGAACCCAAGUUAGAGUGGAAUGUAACUUAUGAAAGUUUACUUGGGAGCAACAAGCCAUUUUGUCAACCUAUUCCACUCAGUAUAAGUUCUCAACCCAUCUAAUCUCUAUCGAUGGACAAACCAAACAAGAAUGAAAAGAUAUGUAACUGACACAACAGAGCAAUAACGAUAUCUCACUCGCAAAAGAACAUUAAUAAAAGCAAGAAACAAACUUUAUGGCAAACAGUAAAGGCAAGUAUAAAUAUUUAAAUUCAUUGUAUUUUGUAGACUACUAGCAAUUAGAAUUAGUCCGUUAUUCUAAUUUGUUAUUUUUAUAGUGUCCAUUACAAGUCGGGUGCACCGUGUAUGGAUACUAUGUCAUGAAAUUUAUGAGAGAAAUUGUAAAUAGGGAGAAAGCAUUGUCAUCUUAGAUUUGAUUGGUACAUGAAAACCAUACUCACAGGCCGAGUUAGAUGAGGUGUGGGUUGAGUUGACUGAGUUUUUAGGUUCGUACAUAUGAUCUAUGACUUAUUUGUGAUUCUAAAGCAGGAAACAUUUUUUUUUAUGUCUAAUUUUUUGAAUUGUCCAUAUGGAGGGGGGUUGAUUUAUAUACUUUUGAGACUCUGUUGUGGUUUAGGGUUUAAGUGAAUUGUUCAUAUGUAGGGGGUUGCCAUUAUGAAACUUUAUGUAUGGAGAUGAUAUACUUUUGGGCUAAGUUAGUUAAUUAGAUGAUGUUUAGUUGAAUUCUUGGAAA